rnacentral:rRNA from 1 species
AAUGAGCCUGCGAGUUGUGGUGUCUGGCAAGGUUAAGCAAACGCGAAGCCGUAGCGAAAGCGAGUCUGAAUAGGGCGCUUAGUCAGAUGCUGCAGACCCGAAACGAAGUGAUCUAUCCAUGAGCAAGUUGAAGCUAGUGUAAGAACUAGUGGAGGACUGAACCCAUAGGCGUUGAAAAGCCCCGGGAUGACUUGUGGAUAGGGGUGAAAGGCCAAUCAAACUUCGUGAUAGCUGGUUCUCUCCGAAAUAUAUUUAGGUAUAGCGUUGUGUCGUAAUAUAAGGGGGUAGAGCACUGAAUGGGCUAGGGCAUACACCAAUGUACCAAACCCUAUCAAACUCCGAAUACCUUAUAUGUAAUCACAGCAGUCAGGCGGCGAGUGAUAAAAUCCGUCGUCAAGAGGGAAACAACCCAGACUACCAGCUAAGGUCCCUAAAUCUUACUUAAGUGGAAAACGAUGUGAAGUUACUUAAACAACCAGGAGGUUGGCUUAGAAGCAGCCAUCCUUUAAAGAAAGCGUAAUAGCUCACUGGUCUAGUGAUUUUGCGCGGAAAAUAUAACGGGGCUAAAGUAAGUACCGAAGCUGUAGACUUGCGCACAACUUAGAUUAUUUAAGUUUAGAAUAUGAGAAACUAAGUUAUAUGUUUAGUUAUAUUUUUACUGAUUUUUAUAGAGUAAAGAUAGAAAUAAAACUUAGUAAAAUCAGUAAAAAUAUUCUUAGACUAAAGUUAAGUAGUUUAAGUUGUGUGCAAGUGGUAGGAGAGCGUUCUAUUUGCGUCGAAGGUAUACCGGUAAGGAGUGCUGGAGCGAAUAGAAGUGAGCAUGCAGGCAUGAGUAGCGAUAA